rnacentral:rRNA from 1 species
UACGUAGGCAGCGAGCGUUGUUCGGAGUUACUGGGCGUAAAGGGUGCGUAGGCGGGUCUUUAAGUCAGGGGUGAAAUCCUGGAGCUCAACUCCAGAACUGCCUUUGAUACUGAAGAUCUUGAGUUCGGGAGAGGUGAGUGGAACUGCGAGUGUAGAGGUGAAAUUCGUAGAUAUUCGCAAGAACACCAGUGGCGAAGGCGGCUCACUGGCCCGAUACUGACGCUGAGGCACGAAAGCGUGGGAGCAACAGG